rnacentral:sRNA from 2 species
UAUUCUGCCCUACAGGGAAGGAUGAGAAGCUUCGACUAAGGUUCGACUCGAGCGAAGCGAGAGAACGUUGCCGCAGGCAACGGUCCGAAGGGCGAGGCGCUUUAGCGCCGAGUAAUCCUUCCCCCACCACCA